rnacentral:RNase_P_RNA from 1 species
GAAGCGUGCCAGACCGCCGCUGGUGCAAUUCCCGAAAGGGAGCACUGGAGGAACGUCCGGACUGCACAGGACAGCGCAGGAGUUAACGACUCUCCACCGCGAGGUGAGGAUCAGAGCAACAGAGACGAGCCGAUUCAGUUCGGGUGAAACGGGCAAUCUCUGCGCGCAGCAACACCAAAUAGGCCAGCGUUGACGUGGUUCCGCGGAGCUGGCGGGUAGGUGGCAUCGAGCCGUCCGGGCGACCGGCGGCCCAGAGUAAUGGCGGUCACGCCGGCAUCGUCGCAAGACGGCGCCGGUGCACAGAAUCCGGCUUAUCGGCGCGCUUCACAC